CAAAUACUUCCUCCAUCCGGAAAUACUUGUCAUCAAAAUGGAUAAAAGGAAAUGUAUCUAGACGUAUUUUAGUUUUAGAUACAUCUCUUUUUAUCCAUUUUGAUGACAAGUAUUUUCGGACGGAGGGAGUAGAAA
rnacentral:pre_miRNA from 1 species